rnacentral:rRNA from 1 species
UACGUAGGGGGCAAGCGUUGUCCGGAAUCAUUGGGCGUAAAGCGCGUGUAGGCGGCUCGGUAAGUCUGCUCUGAAAGUCCAAGGCUCAACCUUGGGAUGCGGGUGGAUACUGUCGGGCUCGAGUCCGGAAGAGGCGAGUGGAAUUCCUGGUGUAGCGGUGAAAUGCGCAGAUAUCAGGAAGAACACCAAUGGCGAAGGCAGCUCUCUGGGACGGUACUGACGCUGAGACGCGGAAGCGUGGGGAGCGAACAGG